rnacentral:sRNA from 12 species
AUAUGAGGCCCAGUUAGUGGCCUCGCUAACCUGGGGAGGUUAGGUAUCCAUCUGGGUAGCGGUAGCUCCGCCCCUCUGGAGAGACGGCGACCAGAGGCCGGGUUGUCAGACCCGGUCGGGACCGUCUC